GUGCCACUUUGCAUCCCACGCCGGAGGAGGCAUUAACGAGACCGGGCUUUUUAAACGGUCCAAGGUGUAGAGCCAUACUUCAGGAGGAUCCUCAGAAGUUUUGGACAAGCCUCCCCAAAUGUGGCAGGUGCUGUGCUGGCCAUUGGUGACCCAAAGAUGAUGAAAAAUAUGUUCCUGCCCACAAGGAGUUAGCGACCUACUGGGGUAUGUACAAUGUUUAUUCUGUUAUUUUUAAUAUGAUGCUUGUGUUAAGCAGUGUGUAGAGAGCUAAUAUGUAAAAAGAAUUUGGCAAAUAAAUUUUGCAAGUAUUUGGCACAAUUUUUCCUUUUACCGAAUGUACUAAUGCCAAAAAAUGUUGGUAAUUUGGAGAUGGUUUCUCAUAUAACCAAAUCAAUAAAAAACAGGUUCAAUUUUUGUAGAUUCUGUAGUAAUAGGGCAGAUUAAAUUUUAAAAAGCCACUGAGACAUGUCUGUACUUCCUACACUUGUGUGUAUUUGAAGGCAAAUGAAAGUAGACUAGAAAUGCCACCAAAGCACAUCACACAUUAGCAACAAUGUACAUUUCUUCUUCACACAUAAAACAUUGACUCUUCUGCUUUUUAUUGGUUACUUUAUUGAUAAUUGCUAUCUUUCAUCUUCUCCUACUUCAUCAGUUCCUCCAAUUGAGCAAAGUCUAUAUUGGGAUAAAAUGUAUCUUUCCUUCCUUAAUUAAUGUUGAUUUUUGCCAAAAUAUGUAUUUUAUUUGAGUCAUAAUAAAAAUUAUAAUAGUUUUUUCUUACAGUAACCAUGCAGGAUGCCUUGAGUAGUCCUGAAGAACUAAAUAUAGUAAAUGC
rnacentral:lncRNA from 1 species